GUUUCUUUAUUCUACUGCACACUUCAAUAUGGAUUUUUAUUUUAAUAAUCUCAAAAAUCAUUAAGGGUAUUAUUUCAACUUACACACUGGGGAUAUUCCACUGAAUAUGACAAACACCAUGCCCUCUGGAGCUGACAUUCUAAUGGGGGACGUGAAAGUCAACAAGAAAACAAGUGAUAUUAUUUGUGAUUGAGAUCGGCCAGAGGAGACGCAGGACCAGAGAGCCGGUGCAGGGAGACCAGCCCAAGACCUCCCGUGGGGCCUGGAUCCCUUCCUCAUCCUGACAUCAGGAGGAUGGGAAGCUCCCAGUCCCGGAAGCCGGCCACCAUGUGGGCAAGGAAGAAGGCCGUCUGCCAUUGCUAAUUAGCGCCGAAGUGUGGAGGAUUCGGGAAGUUGAUCCAGUGUGGUAUUUGAAAACUCUUAUUCUUUUUUACUGCUUACGUCUCUGCCCACAGCUACUCAGAUGAUCAAGAGGUGUUUAAAACAACAAAGCAUCUCAUUAUCGUGCAAAUAUGAAUAUCAAAUGUGAAUAAAAAUUAAGCCAUGAGUUAUAAAUUAAAGAACAAUAAAAAACAUUAAAACUCCAUUUUUCCCUGAGGAAAUUAA